GGUUACUGCUAUCGGUGUUCGCCUAAGCCAUGCGAGUCAUAUGUAGCAAUACAAGGCGUACUGCUCAGUAACACGUGGAUAACCUGCCCUUGGGACCGGCAUAACCCCGGGAAACUGGGGAUAAUUCCGGAUAACGCAUAUUUGCUGGAAUGCUUUAUGCGUCAAAAGGAUUCGUCUGCCCAAGGAUGGGUCUGCGGCCUAUCAGGUAGUAGUGGGUGUAAUGUACUUACUAGCCAGCGACGGGUACGGGUUGUGAGAGCAAGAGCCCGGAGAUGGAUUCUGAGACAUGAAUCCAGGCCCUACGGGGCGCAGCAGGCGCGAAAACUUUACAAUGCGGGAAACCGUGAUAAGGGGACACCGAGUGCCAGCAUCAUAUGCUGGCUGUCCGGAUGUGUAAAAUACAUCCGUUAGCAAGGGCCGGGCAAGACCGGUGCCAGCCGCCGCGGUAACACCGGCGGCCCGAGUGGUGAUCGUGGUUAUUGGGUCUAAAGGGUCCGUAGCCGGUUUGGUCAGUCCUCCGGGAAAUCUGAUAGCUCAACUAUUAGGCUUUCGGGGGAUACUGCCAGACUUGGAACCGGGAGAGGUAAGAGGUACUACAGGGGUAGGAGUGAAAUCUUGUAAUCCCUGUGGGACCACCUGUGGCGAAGGCGUCUUACCAGAACGGGUUCGACGGUGAGGGACGAAAGCUGGGGGCACGAACCGGAUUAGAUACCCGGGUAGUCCCAGCCGUAAACGAUGCUCGCUAGGUGUCAGGCAUGGCGCGACCGUGUCUGGUGCCGCAGGGAAGCCGUGAAGCGAGCCACCUGGGAAGUACGGCCGCAAGGCUGAAACUUAAAGGAAUUGGCGGGGGAGCACAACAACGGGUGGAGCCUGCGGUUU
rnacentral:rRNA from 1 species